rnacentral:rRNA from 1 species
CCUGGCGGCGAGUGGCGAACGGGUGAGUAAUAUAUCGGAACGUACCCAAGAGUGGGGGAUAACGUAGCGAAAGUUACGCUAAUACCGCAUACGAUCUAAGGAUGAAAGCAGGGGAUCUUCGGACCUUGUGCUCCUGGAGCGGCCGAUAUCUGAUUAGCUAGUUGGUGAGGUAAAGGCUCACCAAGGCCACGAUCAGUAGCUGGUCUGAGAGGACGACCAGCCACACUGGAACUGAGACACGGUCCAGACUCCUACGGGAGGCAGCAGUGGGGAAUUUUGGACAAUGGGCGAAAGCCUGAUCCAGCAAUGCCGCGUGAGUGAAGAAGGCCUUCGGGUUGUAAAGCUCUUUUGUCAGGGAAGAAACGGUGAAGGCUAAUAUCCUUCGCUAAUGACGGUACCUGAAGAAUAAGCACCGGCUAACUACGUGCCAGCAGCCGCGGUAAUACGUAGGGUGCAAGCGUUAAUCGGAAUUACUGGGCGUAAAGCGUGCGCAGGCGGUUUUGUAAGUCUGACGUGAAAUCCCCGGGCUCAACCUGGGAAUUGCGUUGGAGACUGCAAGGCUAGAAUCUGGCAGAGGGGGGUAGAAUUCCACGUGUAGCAGUGAAAUGCGUAGAGAUGUGGAGGAACACCGAUGGCGAAGGCAGCCCCCUGGGUCAAGAUUGACGCUCAUGCACGAAAGCGUGGGGAGCAAACAGGAUUAGAUACCCUGGUAGUCCACGCCCUAAACGAUGUCUACUAGUUGUCGGGUUUUAAUUAACUUGGUAACGCAGCUAACGCGUGAAGUAGACCGCCUG